rnacentral:rRNA from 1 species
GGGGGGGGAGCGGCGAACGGGUGAGUAACACGUUGGAACCUACCUCGGACUCAGGGAUAUCAUCGAGAAAUCGGUGUUAAUACCGGAUAGUCCCGCAAGGGUAAAGCUUUUGCGGUCCGAGAGGGGCCUGCGUAGUAUCAGCUUGUUGGUAGUGUAAUAGACUACCAAGGCUACGACGCUUAACUGGUCUGAGAGGAUGAUCAGUCACAAUGGAACUGAGACACGGUCCAUACUCCUACGGGGGGCAGCAGUGAGGAAUCUUCCGCAAUGGGCGAAAGCCUAACGGAGCGACACCGCGUGAAGGAUGAAGGCCUUUUGGUUGUAAACUUCUUUUCUGGGGAAUAAAUGAUGAAGGUACCCCAGGAAUAAGCACCGGCUAACUACGUGCCAGCAGCCGCGGUAAUACGUAGGGUGCAAGCGUUAUCCGGAAUUAUUGGGCGUAAAGCGUGCGCAGGCGGCGCAGCAAGUUUGAAAUUAUAUCUGGUGGCUCAACCAUCAACUCGUUUCAAAAAUUGCUGUGCUAGAGAACGAUAGAGGCAACUAGAAUUCUGCAUGUAGGGGUAAAAUCCGUUGAUAUGCAGAGGAAUACCAAAAGCGAAGGCAGGUUGCUGGGUCGUUUCUGACGCUGUUGCACGAAAGCGUGGGUAGCAAACAGGAUUAGAUACCCUGGUAGUCCACGCCGUAAACGAUGGAUACUCGGUUUAGAUGGGACUCGACCCCCUUCUGAGCCUAAGCUAACGCGUUAAGUAUCCCGCCUGGGGAGUACGGUCGCAAGAUUAAAACUCAAAGGAAUAGACGGGGACCCACACAAGCGGUGGAGCAUGUGGUUUAAUUCGACGAUAAGCGGGGAACCUUACCAGGACUUGACAUCUCCGGAAUCAUUUGGAAACAAGUGAGUGCCGUAAGGAACCGGAUGACAGGUGCUGCAUGGUCGUCGUCAGCUCGUGCCUUGAGGUGUUCGGUUAAGUCCGUAAACGAGCGCAACCCAUGUCCUGUGUUGUAUUUCUCACAGGAGACUGCCGGCUCUAAGUCGGAGGAAGGUAUGGAUGACGUCAGAUCAGCAUGGCCCUUAUGUCCUGGGCCACACACGUGCUACAAUGGCUGGUACAAUGGGCAGCAAACCCGUAAGGGGGAGCCAAUCUCAUCAAAACCAGUCUCAGUUCGGAUUGAGGGCUGCAAUUCGCCCUCAUGAAGUUGGAAUCGCUAGUAAACGCGAAUCAGACAUGUCGCGUUGAAUAUGUUCCUGGGUCUUGUACUCACCGCCCGUCAUAUCAUGAAAGGUGGGGGUACCCGAAGUCGCCUUAGUCCUUCGGGACGGGUGCCUAAGGUAAACUCACUGAUUGGGAUAAAGUCGGAACAAGGUA